CAUGCUGUGCCACAUGAGAACCAGUUCUCUCGGCACCUGGUGUGGACGUGCCACCAUUCAACCCUUCCCCUGGGCCAUGCGUGCAGUGUGAGCUGCAGAGCCACUGCGAGCGGGAUCCUCUGAGCGGUGGGUGAAGACAGCCAAAGUGCCGGCAGGUAGAGCUAUUUUCAAUAGGAGCCCAUCUACGCACUCAAGCAGAACGCUCCUUAGUUCCCAGUUCAUGUGGCUUGCUUAACUGCAGCGCCUUUCACACUGCCACAGUCUUAUCUCCAGAUCUGUGUCCAUGACGAGGACAGCAGGCCCACGGGCCCACCAGCCCAAAAAGGUGGGGAAAGCGGGAAAGGGAACAAAGGGAAUGAGGGGGGGAAAAAAAAAAGUGUCAACGGUCUGAGGAGGAAAACAAACCUAGUUUAAAAUUAUAAUAGUGAAAAUACAAGUCAGUUGGGAUUGAAGCUAAUACAUCACUUACAUGAGUUUCUGAAGACCGAGGUUCUUCCUCUGAUCUGCCAGGGAGCAAAGAGAACUACUCUCAUGACUUCCACUCAGAUUUAUCUUUCCCACCAACCGGAAAACAGAAAUGCAACAGGGAAGUCUUCUGGGGGCUGUCGUACAUUUCAUCCCUUCUGAGACAGGUAAACGGAACUGUCGACAAUCCACAGAACUGCAGCAUUAACUUUCCAACUCCCAGUGCACUGCAUGAAGUUAUCACGUGGAGAACCGAUAACAAAAACCGUAACAUCACGACACACACGCAUGGAUAAACUGUGCAAUACUAUCCACUAAGCACACUGCCAGGGGUCCGGCGUAGGGGGUAGAGGUCACUGUCCUUCUUAAUACACUUUUUACAAACGGGUGCAGUGCUCUCUUUUCUUGUCAGUGCGGACAUCUUGGCUGCCAUUACUUUUCAAGUCUGACAGAGAGUGGCUUGUCAACUCCAUCUUCCAAUUCCUUGAGGACUCUGGAAUGAAUCUGGUUGGGCCCCAGGGGCCUGUUCCAGGCUCCUCAGGUGGCCUCAGACUUGAUCUUCUUUCAUGACGAGAGGAAAUUUGGACCCUCAGGGACUGCCAGUGAAAACUGGUCCCUCGGUGUGAGGGAUGAGCCCAAGUGACUGUGCCGCGAGCCCUGACGAUACCCCGAGAGACUCUCAAGCCACGGGCGAGUGCCUGGCAUCACUUCUCUUGAUUUGAUAGGUGUCUCAGCCAGUCCUGGGACUAGGACAAGAGAAGGCUCCAGAAGCCCAGGCACAGGGGCCUGUAAUUAAGGACGCGGACAAGCCUAGCGGGGGCCCUUUCUCUCCACACCUGACACCCCCGCUGGCAGGUCUGACACCGGAUCCAAGAGUGGUGAUCUCUCUCCAUGCCCCCCGUCCCUCAUCCCCCCUUUCACUCUUUCCUCCUAAGGUUGCUAAGACAAGGUUUCCCAAAACUUGUUCAGUAAAUCAAGGCUUCCCUUGAAUUCCCAUAAAAUUGCACAGCUUAGGCACACAUACUUGUGAGAGGGCCAGCGCUGACAGGGUAGCUGUUCUACAUACAUUCCCCAUCAAAGCUGACGUUCAUGUAUGGACCGUGAGUGUUAUUUCACCUUCAGCCAUCCCAAAGGAAUUUGUGAAUCCCACUCAUACCCGAACGCCAAACCCAAUUUCUGCCUUACACAUUAGUGAAAAAUCGACAGUUUGCUACUGAAGAAACAGAGGAAAUACAUGAGCAACUAGAGUUGGUUUAAUCAGAGAAAAAGAAAGGCCUGUGCGUUACUGCAGAG
ensembl:lncRNA